GACGAACGCUGGCGGCGUGCUUAACACAUGCAAGUCGAACGGAAAGGCCCUGCUUGCAGGGUACUCGAGUGGCGAACGGGUGAGUAACACGUGGGUGAUCUGCCCUGCACUUCGGGAUAAGCCUGGGAAACUGGGUCUAAUACCGGAUAGGAGCCAUUUUUAGUGUGAUGGUUGGAAAGUUUUUUCGGGGUAGGAUGAGCUCGCGGCCUAUCAGCUUGUUGGUGGGGUAAUGGCCUACCAAGGCGGCGACGGGUAGCCGGCCUGAGAGGGUGGACGGCCACAUUGGGACUGAGAUACGGCCCAGACUCCUACGGGAGGCAGCAGUGGGGAAUAUUGCACAAUGGGCGCAAGCCUGAUGCAGCGACGCCGCGUGGGGGAUGACGGCCUUCGGGUUGUAAACUCCUUUCGCUAGGGACGAAGCUUUUUGUGACGGUACCUAGAUAAGAAGCACCGGCUAACUACGUG
rnacentral:rRNA from 1 species